GUCUGAUUUUGGCUCCUGCUGGAGUCUCCUGGACCAAGAGAUCCACUGGACUGUCCUCAUACAUCCAUUUUUAUGGGCAGUCUCUGCACAAACCCACCUCUGAACUCCAUCAGCAAACUAUGCUACCAAAUGGAGAAACUGAAAAUAUUGAGAGACCCAUAGGUCCUCUUUGUGCUUCUUUAAGUGCCUGUGCUAACACUGGGAGCUGUAAAAGUGCCUGCCUGCAAUGUCAAAUAUCCACAUGGUGGUAGAAGACAUGUUGUGAGUUUUCUCCUGUUUCUCCUGGGCAUCAUUAUUACCCUUCAUUUCUGUCAGUGGCUUCAUGGAAGAGUGCACUUAGCCUUGGGAUAUGACACACACAGAAGCAGUGGAGCUCCCUGUUUACCCAGGCUGAGACAAGAGGCCAGACCCUGUGCCUGCUGAAUUCACCCUCUAGAAACUGAAGCCAUAAAUGAGAGUGAAAUUGAAGAGGUGAAAUGGAGAAUGCUUCGCUGAAAUCUCACUUGUGACUCUCUCCCUCCUCAGCACUCAUGAAUGGAGUCUGAGCUUAACAUUUCUUUACUCCAAGCCCCAGCUGCCACCAAGAGACCAAGGCAUAAGAGCACUGGGAUUAACCUGUAUCCUUUAAUACUUUAAUACUAUCCUAUUAGCACAGUGCUUAAACAUGCUGGGGAAUUUAAGGAUGAUUCAAAUUGCACACUUCAAGACUUUUGGCACUUGGGAAGAAAAUAAAGUUUUUCACUAAUGGGGCACAUUUCUUGUCCCAGCUGUACCUUUGUGACUUGCACACUCUGGUAAUGUAAUGGAGGGGGCUGCAGAGCCUCCAAGGGAUUUUUAAUUUUAAAAUGGAUGGCAGAUAUCCAUUCACUAAUAAAUCAUCUGCAGCAGUUCUGCAGGAAAGAAAA